ensembl:lncRNA
UGCAAACGCGUCCAUGCCCUUGUUGGAAACUUAAGCACUCCUGUGAAAGAGAUGGCAUCAGAUAAGGGUGGACAUGGAGAAUAAAGGGUGGCAUGGAGAAUAAAGGGUGGACAUGGAGAAUAAAGGGUGGCAUGGAGAAUAAAGGGUGGCAUGGAGAAUAAAGGGUGGACAUGGAGAAUAAAGGGUGGAGAGGGGCUCAUAAUAACGCGUACACACACGCACUCAGAGUGAGAGAGGAGAGACAGGGGACACAAACGUGACUAGGCAGCCCAAGAGCUGUUAUGCAACCGCUGACCUACUAACACAUAUUUCUAGAAAGGGAGCCGGAGAAACUGGAGCAAAGUGUCCGGCAGCGCGCAGCACGCAGCAGCCGAGCCAAGAGAAAGCCAGGGAGCGCAUCCAGCCCGCGGACCCACAGCACACAGCACCCAGCACACAGCAGAGGCAGCAAGAAGCUUUUUUGGGAGGAUUCUUCUUCUUCUGUAAAGGGACACGGGGAAGGAGGAAACGGGAGCGAGAGCGCUUUGUGUCGGGAAGCCUGGAUCUUCCUCCUCCUCCAGGACAGAGCGUCAUCAACAAACAGCGACACCUCUCAACCAGUCCAGAAGUAGACGGAUUGACCUAUAUCCUGCUUCAGAAAGAAGAGAGAAGCAGGGCAGCGGCCUGACAGGCGUCACUGCUCUGUAAACGAUUGAGGAAGCCGCUGAGCUCAAAGUCACCUCCAGUGAGGCGCCAGAGACGACCCUCGACUGCAUCACAAGGCCGGAAGGACCUCUGCAUAAAACACAAACCUGCUUCUUUUUUUCAAAGUUCCUUGUUCCAAACACUACGUCAAUGUCUGAGGUUUUUGUGGAGUUCCAUCUCUUCUUAAUCUUCUUGGCUAAUUUGGACACUUGAACCUUUUGAUCUUGAAAACAGAAAUCAAUGAGGCUAUCGCUUCGAGGAGCACAAAUACCUCAUCCAGAAGUUUUUGCUGAUCCUGCCACCUAGGUGAAAGCCCUUAGCAACAAAGCAGAAGCUUCAUACGAUUUUACAUCUUUUCCCUUUCCCCCUUUGCCCUUUGCUAGAGUCACACUC